rnacentral:rRNA from 1 species
CGAUGAACCCCUUCGGGGUGGAUUAGUGGCGAACGGGUGAGUAACACGUGGGCAAUCUGCCCUGCACUCUGGGACAAGCCCUGGAAACGGGGUCUAAUACCGGAUAUGAGGACGGCAGGCAUCUGCUGUUCUGUAAAGCUCCGGCGGUGCAGGAUGAGCCCGCGGCCUAUCAGCUUGUUGGUGAGGUAAUGGCUCACCAAGGCGACGACGGGUAGCCGGCCUGAGAGGGCGACCGGCCACACUGGGACUGAGACACGGCCCAGACUCCUACGGGAGGCAGCAGUGGGGAAUAUUGCACAAUGGGCGCAAGCCUGAUGCAGCGACGCCGCGUGAGGGAUGACGGCCUUCGGGUUGUAAACCUCUUUCAGCAGGGAAGAAGCGAAAGUGACGGUACCUGCAGAAGAAGCGCCGGCUAACUACGUGCCAGCAGCCGCGGUAAUACGUAGGGCGCGAGCGUUGUCCGGAAUUAUUGGGCGUAAAGAGCUCGUAGGCGGCUUGUCACGUCGGGUGUGAAAGACCGGGGCUUAACUCCGGUUCUGCAUUCGAUACGGGCUAGCUAGAGUUCGGUAGGGGAGAUCGGAAUUCCUGGUGUAGCGGUGAAAUGCGCAGAUAUCAGGAGGAACACCGGUGGCGAAGGCGGAUCUCUGGGCCGAUACUGACGCUGAGGAGCGAAAGCGUGGGGAGCGAACAGGAUUAGAUACCCUGGUAGUCCACGCCGUAAACGGUGGGCACUAGGUGUGGGCGACAUUCCACGUCGUCCGUGCCGCAGCUAACGCAUUAAGUGCCCCGCCUGGGGAGUAC